AGCGAUUUCAUUUAAGCCUUUUUAUGGGAAUCCUAAUCUGAGUGUUUUUAGUCCACUGCGGCAUAAUUACAAAGAACAAUUUACAACGAUGACGAUGGCGAUGACAAUUACUGUUGCAUGCAACCCUGAACAAAUGAUCGACUUUUCAUGCACCAUCGCUGCAUUAUCGGCUCCUUUGAAAAAGCAUUUAUUUCCUGUCAUGAUUGAAGUUGUCAAGCACGCAAACAUUUUAACCAAAUACGUGAUCAACUUUAAUAAAUCUUCAUAUAUGUGAAUUAUGGAAAAAAGAUA